rnacentral:misc_RNA from 1 species
CCAACGGACCGCCUGAUUUCGAUAGAAAAUGACCACGAACCCCUCAGCGGGAGACACCGUCAUCCCGACGAAGACGAGUAUAACAACGAAUGUAGCCAGGGAUCGGUUGAUCCCUGGUAAAACCGAGUGUCUCUUUGCCCGGGCAGAAUCGACACCCGCGGCGAGGAAGAGACACCUGGAACAGUCGAGUUCUCCGACAAAGGGUGAGAUACCGACCAAGUCACCGAGGAAGAGCGAGCCUUCGGCGGAAGUGGUGGCGAGAGACCUGCAGGAUUCGCUCGACGAAGCGAACAUGUGCGUCGCGAGUGCGGAGGAUCAAAAACGAGCGCCGUCCUGCGCUACGGAAUCGCGACCGGAAGUACCGAGAGACAAACCGUCGAUACGGAGUCUCAGAAAACGCCAGGAUGAAGGAAAAACCCAACCACCAGCAGCAGCGAAACGCGAGAAAAAUGAGACGCGGCUGAUCCCAAGGUCACAGAUUCCCUGCAGGAGCCUGAAGAGGUCGUCGGAGGAGAUUCCCGAGGGCGGAAAGUCACACCGAAAGAGUCGCGCCGACGGCGUUUCGCCGCGGGAACCGGAAGUUGAAACCCCGAAAUCCGAAACGACGAUCACAGGUCAUCCUCACUGCAGGACGCAAACGCAUCAGCAGUUACAGAAGAGAGACGAGGCUGUGAAGCUGAGAAAAACUAUACAGUGGCUUGAGGAAGGCGCUCGCAGGAUGAGGGAGGACCUCGCAGCGACUCGCGCCGAACUUCACGAGGAACGGAAGGCCGCGAGGUUGGCCAGGAGGGAACUCGACUCCGCUGUCAAGGACGCGAGGAACGGCGAGGCUGCCAGGCACCUUCGGAUCAUCGCCGAGCUCAAAACGAGAUUGGCGCAAUCGCCGACGCGCACCGGCGUCGAAACCGCGUCGACAUCUUCAAAGGCGGACAUAUUACGGGAGGAAAAUCAUCGCCGAGAAUUGUCAGCCCUGAGAAGACGCCUGGCGGAAGCUGAAGCGUCUGUCCAAAAGCUCAAGGCGAACGCGUGCAGUCCUCACGGUUCGGGAAAGCGGAGAAAAGUCGAGGGCGCCGACGGUCGACGGCUGGAAGUCGAGGUCCAGGCGUUGAGGACCGCGAACCGAAAUCUGGAGGAACGUCUGCAGGUCGUCACAGAAGCGGAAAAGACGCGGGCGACCGAGCUGCGGAUUCAGCACGAGAACCACGAGGCUCAGCUCGCUGCUCUGCAGAGGACGUUGCGCAGCGACACGAUAAAAAUGAUGGACGAGAUUCGAAGCAAGACGAGAGAGGUCGAAAAGCUGGAAAAGCUCGCGUUGGAGAGUUCGCAGAUGCACCGAAAAUUGCGGACGAAGGAAGACGACCUGAUGCGAAAGUUGCGCGAGACGGAACGAAGUAAUCAGGUUCGUCUGGCGCCCCGCAUAGAAGAUAAAAAUUCAACGAGCACCGAGCAUGUCGAGGACUCGUGCACCGGGGACUGUGAGGCUGCGGCCGAGGUCGAGAGGCUUCGAGAACUCAGUGUUGAGCAGCAGGAGGUCAUUGAGAUUCUCAGGCAGGCAGUCAAGGAGAAAGAACGGAAGCUCGACCAGAUCUCGAACAAGAAACGAAAGGAGGAGUUCUACAAACAGUGGCUCGAACUCGAGCCCGUUGUAGAAGUCGAGGACGAAGACGAACACGAACACGAGGAGGGUGACAGCGCUCUGUCCAGCGCUCCGUCGUCGCUGUCACCCCAGCCAGGGGGAUGUGGACAGUGGCAGCACACAGGCGUUACCAGGGAAGCGUACGAGACGGUUCUCCUCGAGGUCGAGGAACUCCAGAGCAGACUCGUCGAGGAACAGCGGGAACUUGCUCACGCCAAGAGCCAGGUUCGCGACCUGGAGAAGGCCCUGCUUCAGGAGACAAGGGGAAGUCAGAACAGCAGACGAGCCCUGAGCGACAAACUCCGGGAGAUCGAGGACCGGGAGGCGACUUUGGUCGCUGAGAUCUCGGAACUCCGAGAGCAGAACGAGCUUCUCGAAUUUCGCGUUCUCGAACUGGAGGAGUCGCCCUGUCUCCGGGACACGCCUGAUCCGGCCGACAGCGGUAUCGUCUCACCAGAGCCGAUUCACCUCUACAAGGACCAGCUCGGUAAGCAGAAGGACCGCGCCGUAGCGACCAUAAUUCCUUACAACACGUACAAUAGCCCAGCUUCGCCGAUACCUCAAAAGCCGCCGUUGUCCCUUCAGGAGAGCGGGAUCUUCGACGAGGACGAUGAAGCGGAUGUGGAGCUGGCGAGUCGGGGAACGCAGACGGAAACCCCGGCCGGUGAUCUUCUGCAGGAAGUCCAACGGUUGCACGAGCUUCGGGCCCGGAUCCAGGAGCGGGCGGUCAAGGUUCCGGUUCCCGUGAUUGACGCGAAAUUGGACGUCGCCGAUGUCGCUGAUUCCGGACAGAACGCGAAUUCCUAUCUGGACCGCAUUCGCGAACUCGAACAGAGACUCGCCGAUCACGAGGAGGCAGAGAGCAAGCGAAACCAAGACAAACAACUGUCGAAACAGAGGGAGGAGGAGCUUUUGGACGAGAAUUACAGACUCACUGAGAGAAUAUACUGGUUCGAAAAUCUUCAUCGGAAUUCCAAGAACGUUGAGGAGGACUCGAAAGACGACUCCUCAAACGUGCGGGAGAACGACCUUACCCCGAAGAAUGGUGAGUCGCAUGUUUCCGAGGAACACGAAGACGCAUCAUCGGCCGGGAUGCGGAAUUCGGAAGCCGUUGAGGAGCCGCAACCGAUUUUGUCCACUUCUGCAUCCAACGAGGCUGGAAAGUCGAUGACCUUGGAGGAGCUUGACGUGGGCUGCAACGAGUGUGGGAAAAUGAGGUCUGAAGUGAUCGGCAGGCUGGAGGAGCUGGUGCAGGUCGAGCUGCUGACGAGACAACGCAUCGUCGAUCUUGAACGUCGGGAGGCGACGUAUAUGAAGACCUUGCAGAAGGCUGACGAGAUGUGGGUCGAGGCGGAGCGAGGCUACUCGAACCAGCUCCAAGAGCUUCGCGCCAAGCUUGAGCUUGAGCUCUUCGAAAAUCAGAAGCUCUCUCGCCACAUUGCCGAGCUAAAAGACAAGCUGAAGGAGAUCCGGACGAGUGGCGAUCUUGCGGAUCGUUGCGUCGAGUGCGUCAGAUGUCGCGGCUUGGUGAUGCCGGAAAUUUUAGUCUCGAAAGCGGAUCGAUCCUUUGACGAGGUUGACGCGACAGCUGGAAGCGGAGAAACCGAUGGAUAUUCAGCGUUGAAAAUUGAUCCAAAAUCGAAAAUUUGCAAUAACGUUACCGUGUCUGAAAUUUCUAACGUCGAGGCUGGAAGCGGUAAACGGGAUUCGACCUCUUCUAAACCACUUGUGAAUUCAAUGAUAGAGCAGGAUACGGCGAGAAAGGUGAAGGUUUCCAAGGUAUUCGUGCCCGAAAUCGUUGCAGAAUUGGCAACCGAGGCUAAGGAGGAAGAAGCGCCUGGGGAAGAGUCCGAUACUCGGAUUGAAAAUAGCGAGGGUUCAAUCCUGGAUGUCGCAGGAAAGGGUGAAGGAGUCGCUGAAGUGGUCCAGGAGAAUCCUUCGGGAAAGAACGAUACCGGAAUAGACGUAGUCGAAGGCGGAGAGGUUCAACCAGAGCCUGUAGUGACUAUUAACGAGACAGAACCUAAAAAGAAGGUAAUUUACUUCCGUUGGAGAUGAGGCCAAGCCGGGCCUUCUCCGUGGUGUGUCAGUCGAAUUCACGGCUUUCUCCCCGCGGAAGAGGACCUCGCGUUUUUCAACCUCGAGCUGUUCCUCCUGCGGAUGUUGACGAGAUGCUAUUUUCGAUCAGUUAAUAAGGACAAAUCCGCUGGCGCUACUUGGUGAGUCCAAGUGACGUACAGAGAUGGUACGUCCAUCGCCUCCUGAUUUUUACUCACUUAACUCGCUCAAUCGAUCAUUAUAAGUUAGUCAACUCCGAACCUAGCUGUUAAAAAUUUUCUUUUCGUUUUGUAGUAAUUAUCGUAAAUAAUUGCCCAGCUACUGGUCAUGUUUAUAGUUGAGCCACAGUAAAAGAUGGGACCAGCUGAUCCAUGUCCAUAUCAAUGUAUAAUAAACUGAAGUGCCUGUACGAACGCUUGGAUGUACGAAAGCGUUCGUUAAUUACUGUGAAAUGUCGCAUCGCUGUCAGCAAUGGAAUUUUCUGCACCGAUGCAAGUGCAACUGUACGUGAAAUCGAAAUGGAACCCACCGUUAUCAUCAUUGUAAUAGCCGCAGCGCGAUAAUCUAUCUAUCGCGGAUAAACUGAAUUGGCGUAAGAAACUGCGGUCAAUAGCAUUUGACAAUUGAUUUUCAUCUCACGAUAAUUUUACUCAAGAAAUUGUUGAUAAUUUUUGAUUUCCUCUUACAUCUCUCUGUUUUCAUUAUCCAGACACUCGAACGCGCCGAAAGAAUCAUAUUAUUAACGACGGACAAUAAUUUUUAUUCGACGAUUAAAAAUAUAUAAUCAACGUAGUAGGUAAUGUAAUACUUACAUAAAUAUUUGACGAAACGAUACGAAAAAAAAAAAAAAAAAAUAA